UACGUAGGGGGCAAGCGUUGUCCGGAAUUAUUGGGCGUAAAGCGCGUGUAGGCGGCUCGGUAAGUCUGCUGUGAAAGUCCAGGGCUCAACCCUGGAACGCCGGUGGAUACUGUCGAGCUCGAGUCCGGAAGAGGCGAGUGGAAUUCCUGGUGUAGCGGUGAAAUGCGCAGAUAUCAGGAGGAACACCAAUGGCGAAGGCGGCUACCUGGACCGAUAUUGACGCUGAGACGCGAAAGCGUGGGGAGCAAACAGG
rnacentral:rRNA from 1 species